rnacentral:tRNA from 1 species
GCGCUCGUGGCUCAAAUGGAUAGAGCAAGGGUCUCCUAAACCCUAGGUUGCAGGUUCGAAUCCUGUCGGGCGCA